UACGUAGGGGGCAAGCGUUGUCCGGAUUUAUUUGGCGUAAAGAGCGUGUAGGCGGCUGGGUAGGUCCGUUGUGAAAACUCGAGGCUCAACCUCGAGACGCCGAUGGAAACCCUCCAGCUAGAGUCCGGAAGAGGAGAGUGGAAUUCCUGGUGUAGCGGUGAAAUGCGCAGAUAUCAGGAAGAACACCCGUGGCUAAGGCGGCUCUCUAGUACGGUACUGACGCUGAGACGCGAAAGCGUGGGGAGCGAACAGG
rnacentral:rRNA from 1 species